rnacentral:rRNA from 1 species
CAGGGGUAGGGGAGCGUUGUAUAAGGGUUGAAGGUGUACCGUAAGGAGCGCUGGACAUUAUACAAGUGAGAAUGCCGGUAUGAGUAACGAAAAGAUCAGUGAGAAUCUGAUCCGCCGAAAGCCUAAGGGUUCCUGAGGAAGGCUCGUCCGCUCAGGGUAAGUCGGGACCUAAGGCGAGGCCGAAAGGCGUAGUCGAAGGACAACAGGUCGAAAUUCCUGUACCACCGUAAGCCGUUAUGAGCAAUGGGGGGACGCAGUAGGGUAGUGACGCGGACUGAUGGAUGUCCGUCUAAGCAGUAAGGCUGAUGUGUAGGCAAAUCCGCACAUUGUAAGGCUGAGCUGUGAUGGGGAGCGAAAAUUAUAGUAGCGAAGGUCAUGAUCUCACACUGCCAAGAAAAGCCUCUAGCCAGGUGAUGGUGCCCGUACCGCAAACCGACACAGGUAGGCGAGAAGAGUAUUCUAAGGCGCGCGGAAGAACUCUCGUUAAGGAACUCGGCAAAAUGACCCCGUAACUUCGGGAGAAGGGGUGCCCCGGUAGUGUGAAUAGCACGAGGGGGCCGCAGUGAAAAGGCCCAAGCGACUGUUUAGCAAAAACACAGGUCUGUGCGAAGCCGUAAGGCGAAGUAUACGGGCUGACGCCUGCCCGGUGCUGGAAGGUUAAGGGGAGUGGUUAGGGAGUAAUCCCGAAGCUGUGAACCGAAGCCCCAGUAAACGGCGGCCGUAACUAUAACGGUCCUAAGGUAGCGAAAUUCCUUGUCAGGUAAAUUCUGACCCGCACGAAUGGCGUAACGACUUGGGCGCUGUCUCAACGAGAGAUCCGGUGAAAUUUUAAUACCUGUGAAGAUGCAGGUUACCCGCGACAAGACGGAAAGACCCCAUGGAGCUUUACUGCAGCUUGAUAUUGAAUUUGGGUACGAUCUGUACAGGAUAGGUGGGAGCCUUUGAAGCAUGAGCGCCAGCUUGUGUGGAGGCAACGUUGGGAUACCACCCUGAUCGUAUCUAGGUUCUAACCUGGUACCGUAAUCCGGUGCGGGGACAGUGUCAGGUGGGCAGUUUGACUGGGGCGGUCGCCUCCUAAAGAGUAACGGAGGCGCCCAAAGGUUCCCUCAGAAUGGUUGGAAAUCAUUCGAAGAGUGCAAAG